UACAGAGGAGCCAAGCGUUGUCCGGAUUGACUGGGCGUAAAGCGCACGCAGGCGGUUGCGCGCGUGGGGUGUGAAAUCUGGCCGCUUAACGGCCAGGCGCCAUCCCAUACGGCGCGACUGGAGUGAUGCAGAGGUCGAUGGAAUUGCCGGUGUAGUGGUGAAAUGCGUAGAUAUCGGGAGGAACACCGGUGGCGAAGGCGGCAUCCUGGACCGGUAUUGACGCUGAGGCGCGAAAGCCAGGGGAGCAAACGGG
rnacentral:rRNA from 1 species